AUUGAACGCUGGCGGCAUGCCUUACACAUGCAAGUCGAACGGUAACAGGUUAAGCUGACGAGUGGCGAACGGGUGAGUAAUAUAUCGGAACGUGCCCAGUCGCGGCGGAGAACUGCUCGAAAGAGCAGCUAAUGCCGCAUACGACCUGGGGGUGAAAGCGGGGGAUCGCAAGAACUCGCGCGAUUGGAGCGGCCGAUAUCAGAUUAGGUAGUUGGUGGGGUAAAAGCCUACCAAGCCAACGAUCUGUAGCUGGUCUGAGAGGACGACCAGCCACACUGGGACUGAGACACGGCCCAGACUCCUACGGGAGGCAGCAGUGGGGAAUUUUGGACAAUGGACGCAAGUCUGAUGCAGCCAUGCCGCGUGCGGGAAGAAGGCCUUCGGGUUGUAAACCGCUUUUGUCAGGGAAGAAAAGGUUCUGGUUAAUACCUGGGACUCAUGACGGUACCUGAAGAAUAAGCACCGGCUAACUACGUGCCAGCCGCCGCGGUAA
rnacentral:rRNA from 1 species